rnacentral:rRNA from 1 species
UACAGAGGUCUCAAGCGUUGUUCGGAUUUACUGGGCGUAAAGGGUGCGUAGGAGGCCGCGCAAGUCAGGCGUGAAAGCCCGGGGCUCAACCCCGGAACGGCGCUUGAAACUGCGCGGCUGGAGGGCCGGAGAGGCUGCCGGAAUUCCCGGUGUAGCAGUGAAAUGCGUAGAGAUCGGGAGGAACACCAAAGGCGAAGGCAGGCAGCUGGAAGGCACCUGACUCUGAGGCACGAAAGCCAGGGGAGCAAACGGG